UUCCCUCAACCCUCUGAAAGUCUUGAUUAAAAUAAUAUCAGGAGAGCUAUGAGUGUCUUCUUUCCCAAAGGUUUCUCGAGAAGGAUUAAGCAAGUAGUAAACAUCCAGUUUGUCAUAUUCACGUAAAUAAAUCGAAUCUUGGAAAGGAAUUUUAGUGAGUGGAUUUUUAUAGAGAUUGUGUAUGAAAACGGUCAUGAUGACGCUACUAGUGAUGAAAUCAACAGCAGGAAUAUUAUAUGAAGAAGCAACACCCAGGCCCCACCACGGUUGGAUGAGAUCAUAGAUAAGCAAAUCCGGUUUUAGAGUUUUGAGGAUGUGACAGAAGAUUGGUUCGGACAAAUCGAGGGCUUCUUGAAGUAUUUGGCAUGAGAUUGGGAGGAGGUUUUUGGUGGUGUGGGAUUGUGGGGGAGGUCAGCAAGACCGUAAAUCGUGGAGCUCGACGAUUUUAUAGAGUGUGUGUAUAUUUUUUGAGUGAGUCUAGGCUUGAGCAUUGAGGUUGAUAGGGUAGAACAUAGGUAGAUCUUGAAGUUUCUGGUUGAGAGCUUUUGGCUUUAGCUCCAAGAAGGGGAGAUAUGUCAUGAGAUAGCCAUGGGAAAAUGAGAACACUGAUGGUACUUGCUUUGCAAUCCUUCUCUCUCUCUUCUCUUUUCGGGCUAUCUUAAAGUCUUCUGCACUUUGUGACAUGACAACCCUGUAUAUGUCGAUGGGGUGAGCAUGAGAUGCGUAUGGAGGAAUUCUUCUGAGAAUUUUCAUUGUCAACAAUAUAUUAAAGUUUAAGGGGAAAAAAUUUAUAAAUCGUGGAAAGAAUCAAAAAUAAUGUACUAAAUACUAAUGAAUAUUGUCUUAAUUUGUUAAGUCUAAUUAAUUUCUUUUUUUGCACUUUUUAUUUUUACUGCACAACUUUUUUAGUUAAUUUUUAAAACAGAAAUGAUAAAAUCACGUAGUCACGAUUAUCAUAACAAUUUGAUUGCAUUGGUAGAUGAUCUACACACUAAAAACUAAAAAAUAGACUUUUUGAGUUAGGAAACAUUAAAGGAUGGUUCUCCGCUCUUUUGCUUCUCGUAAUUUUUUAAACACCCCAUUCCCCUUUCCCUUCUUCCCCUGCUUUUUUUCCUUGAGCACCUAGUUUAUUUCUGGCUUUACCUGCUGGGUACGUGGUAAGCCGCAAUAAAUUAAAUAAUACCGUUCCUUGCAAUAAUAUAUUGAAAUUGAAUAUAAAUCCGAUAGAGUUUAAUUAUGUUCAUCUACCUCACAGGUAAAUAUUGCCCUCUUGUUAUUGAUUGAGAUGUGCGUGAUCCGCAUGGCAAACCUAACAAUGUCUAGAAUUUCUUUUGAAAAUUAAGUUGGAAAAGGAAUGAAAAUAGAUAAAAUGAGAGAAAAUUUAGGAGAGAUGAGGAAAGAGAGUGGGCAGAGUAGAGGUGUCAAGCGGGCCUUGCCGGCACGGCACGGCACGAGCACGGCACGAAAAAAACCCGGCACGAGCACGCUUGGGCAGGGUAAAAGUUGGGCACGGAACGACCACGGCACGGCACGGUCUGAGACGGGCACGGGCACCGGGCACGAGGCACGAAAAUGGGAGAGCACGGCCACGGGGCACAGCACGAUAGUUGCUCACAAAGCACGAAUGGCCGGCACGGUCAAAGUACGGCACGGCACGGGGCAUGGACACGACAGUUGAUUUGGUUUGGCAUGGCAUGGCCGGCACGGCACAACACAGACCUUAGCCAAGAACGGCACAGCAUGGGCACGAAUGUGUCACGGGCAAAAACCUGGGUAGACACGGAUAAUUGGCCUGACACGACACGGAAGUGACAAGGAAAUGAUAAUUAUUAAAUAAAUUAAAAUAAAAUUUAAUUAAAGAAAUUGACUUGCCAGGUAAUUUUAUUUGUAAAAAUUUGAACAAAAAGAAUAAAGAAAAGUAAAAUAAAUAAAUUUUUGACUUAUUCAUGGGUCAUUGGGGGGGCUGUAAAUAAAUAAAUAAUAAAAUAAAAAUAUAUUUUUAUUAAAUAAAUGACUUUUCAAAGGCCAUAAUAAGAAAAAAAUUGAGGAAAAAGUUAAAAUAAAGUAAGGAAUAACAAAAAUGAAAAAAUAAAAAAUAAAUAAAAAAUUAAAAAUUUGAAAACAAACUAUAAAUUUUAAAAUUUGGACUUAUGGCCCAUAUUAGGCCAUAAUAAGACAAAAAUAAAAUUUUAAAAAAUAAAACUUUGUAUUUAACAAAUGAGAAAAAAAAUAAAAAAUAAAAUUUUCAAUAAUAAAUAAUAAAAAUAAAAAUUUUGAAUUGAUAGACAAAAUUGAAUUUUUAUAAUUAUUAAUCUGUAUAAAAAAUUUGAUUUAUCUAUGCGCUAAACCACAACAAUCGCAACAUAAUUAUGACAAUUACACCAUCACUUUGGUUGUAGGUCACUCUCGUCGAAUUGAACAUCUAUCGAAUAUUGAAAGCCCUUCAUCACUUGUUGAAUAUAACGAGUGGUGGCAUAACCCCUCGAACUGCACUUUUUUC
rnacentral:lncRNA from 1 species